GGCACAAACUUUCACUUAGGCACCUCAAGUGAAUGUUGUUCACUUUUAACACCUCAAGUAGCCACAAAGUGUGUCACUUUGACACCUUUUGCUGAAUCAACAAAGAGAGUUGUUGCACUUGCUGUCAGGCGCGUUUUAGGGUAUAUAACAUAUAAAUGAAUCAAUUAUAAAAGGACAUUUGAUAUUUUUAUAAAAAUAUUUC
rnacentral:lncRNA from 1 species